rnacentral:rRNA from 1 species
GAUAACAACGCGAAAGCGUAGCUAAUACCGCAUACGCCCUUCGGGGGAAAGCAGGGGAUCGUAAGACCUUGCACUAUUAGAGCGGCCGAUAUCGGAUUAGCUAGUUGGUGGGGUAAAGGCUUACCAAGGCAACGAUCAGUAGUUGGUCUGAGAGGACGACCAACCACACUGGGACUGAGACACGGCCCAGACUCCAACGGGAGGCAGCAGUGGGGAAUUUUGGACAAUGGGCGAAAGCCUGAUCCAGCCAUGCCGCGUGAGUGAAGAAGGCCUUCGGGUUGUAAAGCUCUUUUAGUCAGAAAGAAAGAAUCAUGACGAAUAAUUAUGAUUUAUGACGGUACUGACAGAAAAAGCACCGGCUAACUACGUGCCAGCAGCCGCGGUAAUACGUAGGGUGCGAGUGUUAAUCGGAAUUACUGGGCGUAAAGGGUGCGCAGGCGGUUUUGUAAGUCAGAUGUGAAAGCCCCGGGCUUAACCUGGGAAUUGCGUUUGAAACCACAAGGCUAGAGUGCAGCAGAGGGGAGUGGAAUUCCAUGUGUAGCAGUGAAAUGCGUAGAGAUGUGGAAGAACACCGAUGGCGAAGGCAGCUCCCUAGGUUGACACUGACGCUCAUGCACGAAAGCGUGGGGAGCAAACAGGAUUAGAUACCCUGAUAGUCCACGCCCUAAACGAUGUCAACUGGUUGCCGGAUCUAAUUAAGGAUUUGGCAACGUAGCUAACGCGUGAAGUUGACCGCCUGGGGAGUACGGUCGCAAGAUUAGAACUCAAAGGAAUUGACGGGGACCCGCACAAGCGGUGGAUUAUGUGGAUUAAUUCGAUGCAACGCGAAAAACCUUACCUGCCCUUGACAUGCUUGGAAUCUAGUGGAGACAUAAGAGUGCCCGAAAGGGAGCCAAGACACAGGUGCUGCAUGGCUGUCGUCAGCUCGUGUCGUGAGAUGUUAGGUUAAGUCCCGCAACGAGCGCAACCCUUGUCAUUAGUUGCUACGAAAGGGCACUCUAAUGAGACUGCCGGUGGCAAACCGGAGGAAGGUGGGGAUGACGUCAAGUCCUCAUGGCCCUUAUGGGUAGGACUUCACACGUCAUACAAUGGUCGGG